CUCCAACAACUAGUUCUUCAGGUUUCUCUUCAAGUGCCAGUUCUUCAGGUGUUUCCUCCUUUGCCAGCUCUUCAGGUGUUUCCUCCUUUGCCAGCUCUUCAGGUGUUUCUUUAGCUGCCGGUUCUUCAGGUUUCUCUUCAACCUCCGGUUCUUGUGGUAUUUCCUCUACUUGUACUUCAGAUUUCUCCUCAAUUGUUGGUUCUUCAGGUUUCUCUCUAACCGCUGCUGCAUUAGGUUUCUCUUCAUUGGCUGGUUCUUCAGGUUUUUCUUCAACUACCGAUUCUUCAGGAUUUUCCUCAAUGUUUGGAAAGGGAGCGACAUCAUUAUUGGUAUUGCAUGGAAUUUCACUGCCAGUUUUGUCAUUCAAGUCCACAACUAGUAUAUUCUGCAAAAGAGUUUAAUGUUUCACUUAGUCUUUCAAUAAAGAAGCAGAUGCGAAUCAUUACAUAUACAUAACUAAUAACAUGGAUAAACUUUAUGACAGUAGUUGACCCUUACCUUUUCCACAAGAGUUACUUUUGCAGGUUUCUCCUCUUCAAGUGCUGGUUUCUCUUCAAAUGAUAGUUCAUUAGGUGUUUCUUCCCGUGUUGGUUCUUCAUGUGCUUCUUCAGUUACUGGUUUUUCAGGUUUCUCCUCAAUUGUUGGUUCUUCGCUUGUCUUCUCAACUGAUGGUUCCUCAUGCUUCUCUCCCGUUGUUGAUUUUUCGGGUUUCUCUUCAGUUGUCGAUGGUUCAGUUUUUUUCUCAACCGCUGGUUCUUUUGGCUUCUCCAAAACCAUUUCCGAUUUCUCUUCAGUUGGUGGUUCUUCAUGGUUUUUUUCAACUACUGGUUCUUCUCUUUUUUCCUCAACUGAUGCAUAGUCAGCAAUAUCGUUGUUGGUAUUGCUUGGAAUUGCAUUGUCUGUCUUGUCCUUUGAGCUUACAAUUGGCAUAUUCUGCUAGAAAAAUAUAAAGUUUCAUGUAGUCUUUCAACAGAGAAACCAAUGUAAAUUUGUUGCACAUAUAAAGCUAACAAAUAUGAUGGAUAGACUUUGCGAGAGUGUUUAAUACUCACCUUCUCCGGAAGAGCUUCCGUUUCAGGUUCCUCUUCAAUUUCUGCUUUUUCAUCUUUCUCUUCAACAACUAGUUCUUCAGGUGUCUCUUCAACCGUUGAUUCUUCAGGUUUCUCUUCAAGUGUUAGUUCUUGAGGUGUUUCCUCCUUUGCUAGCUCUUCAGGUGUUUCUGUAACUGCCGGUUCUUCAGGUUCCUCUUCAGCCACCGGCUGUUGACGUAUCUCCUCUACUUGUACUUCAGAUUUCUCCUCAAUUGUUGGUUCUUCAGGUUUCUCCUUAACCGCUGGUACAUCAGGUUUAUCCUCAUUGACUGGUUCUUCAACUGCUGAUUCUUCUAGAUUUUCCUCAAUGUCUGGAAAGCGAGCAACAUCAUUAUUGGUAUUGCAUGGAAUUUCAUUUCCAGUUUCGUUAUUCGAGUCUACAAUUAGCAUAUUCUGCAAAAAGAAUUUAAUGUUUCAUUUAGCCUUUCAAUAAAGAAGCAUAUGCGAAUAACAGUACAUGCAUAACUAACAAAAUGGAUAAACUUUGUGAUAGUGCUUGAUCCUUACCUUUGCCAAAAGAGUUACCUUUUCAGGUUUCUCCUCUUCAACGGUUGGUUCUUCAUGUUUCUUUUCAAAUGCUAGUUCCUUGGUUGUUUCUUCCGGUGUUGGUUCCAUAGGUGUUUCUUCAGUUACUUGUUUUUCGGGUUUCUCUUCAAUUAUUGGUUCUUCGAUUGUCUUCUCAACUGAUGGUUCUUCAAGAUUUUCUCCCACUGUUGGUUUUUGGGGUUUCUCUUCUAUUGUUGGUUGUUCAGGAAUUUUCUCAACUGGUGGUUCUGCUGGAUAUUCCAAAACCAUUGAUUCUUCAGAUUUCUCUUCAAUUGAUGGUUCUUCAUGGGUUUUUUCAACUACUGGUUCUUCAAUUUUUUCCUCAACAGAUGCAUAGUCAACAAUAUCAUUAUUGGUAUUGCUUGGAAUUGCAUCGUCUGUCAUGUCCUUUGAGUUUACUUUUGGCAUAUUCUGCAAUAGAGUUUCAUGUAAUCUUUCAACAGAUAAACAGAUGUAAAUUUGUUGCACAUAUAAAGCUAAUAUGGUGGAUAAACUUUGUGACAGUGUUUAAUCCUCACCUUCUCCUGAAGAUCUUCCGCUUCAAGUUCCUCCUCUACAAUUGCAGUUUUUUCCUCUUCCCCUUCAACAACUAGUUCUUCAGGUGCCUCUUCAGCCGUUGAUUCUUCAGGUUUCUCUUCAAGUGCUAGUUCUUCAGGUGUUUCCUCCUUUGCCAGCUCUUCAGGUGUUUCUUUAGAUGCCGAUUCUUCAGGUUUCUCUUCAGCCAUCGGUUCUUGAGGUAUUUCCUCUACUUGUACUUCAUAUUUCUCCUCAAUUGUUUGUUCUUCAGGUUUCUCUUCAGGUUUCUCCUUAACCACUGGUACAUCAGGUUUCUCUUGAUUAACUGGUUCUUUGGGUUUUUCUUCAACAGCCGAAUCUUCAGGAUUUUCCUCAAUGUCUUGAAAGCAAGCAAUAUCUUUAGUGGUAUUGCAUGGAAUUUCACUGCCAGUUUUGUUGUUCGAGUCUACAAUUAGCAUAUUCUGCAAAAGGAAUUUGAUGUUUCAUUUAGCCUUUUAAUAAAGAAGCAGAUGUGAAUAACAUUACAUGCAUAACUUACAAAAUGGAUAAAUUUUGUGACAGUCCUUGACCCUUACCUUUUCAGGUUUCUCCUCUUCAACAGCUGAUUCUUCAUGUUUCUCUUCAAAUGCUAGUUCUCUGGGUGUUUCUUCCCGUAGUGCUUCUUCAUGUGCUUCUUCAGUUACUGGUUUUUCAGGUUUCUCCUCAAUUGUUGGUUCUUUGAUUGUCUCCUCAACAGAUGGUUCUUCAAGCUUCUCUCCCGUUGUUGAUUUUUCUGGUUUCUCUUCAAUUGCUGGUUGUUCAGGAAUUUUCUCAACAGCUGGUUCUUCUGGCUUCUCUAAAACCAUUGAUUCUUCAGCUUUCUCUUCAAUUGAUGGUUCUUCAUGGUUUUUUUCAACUAUUGGUUCUUCAGUUUUUUCCUCAACGGAUGCAUAGUCAACAAUAUCAUUGUUGGUAUUGCUUGGAAUUGCAUCGUCUGUCAUGUCCUUUGAGUUUACUUUUGGCAUAUUCUACAAUAAAGUUUCAUGUAGUCUUUCAAUAGAUAAACAGAUGUAAAUUUGUUGCAACAUAUAAAGCUAAUAUGGUGGAUAAACUUUGUGACAGUGUUUAAUCCUCACCUUCUCCCGAAGAUCUUCCGCUUUAAGUUCCUCCUCUUCAAUUGCUGUUUUUUCAUCUUUCGUUUCAACAACUAGUUCUUCAGGUGCCUCUUCAGCCGUUGAUUCUUCAGGUUUUUCUUCAAGUGCCAGCUCUUCAGGUGUUUCCUCCUUUGCCAUCUCUUCAGGUGUUUCCUCCUUUGCCAGCUCUUCAGGUGUUUCUUUAGCUGCUGGUUCUUCAGGUUUCUCUUCAGCCGCCAGUUCUUGAGGUAUCUCCUUUUCUACUUCAGAUUUCUCCUCAACUGUUGGUUCUUCAGGUUUCUCUUCAUUAACUGGUUCUUUGGGUUUUUCUUCAACAGCCGAAUCUUCAGGAUUUUCCUCAAUGUCUGGAAAGUGAGCAACAUCUUUAUUGGUAUUGCAUGCAAUUUCACUGUCAGUUUUGUCGUUCAAGUCUACAAUUAGCAUAUUCUGCAAAAAGAAUUUGAUGUUUCAUUUAGCCUAUUAAUAAAGAAGCAGAUGUGAAUAACAUUACAUGCAUAACUUACAAAAUGGAUAAACUUUGUGAUGGUCCUUGACCCUUACCUUUCCAGGCUUCUCCUCUUCAACGGCCAGUUCUUGUUUCUCUUCAAAUGCUAGUUCCCUGGGUGUUUCUUCCUGUAUUGGUUCUUCAUGUGCUUCUUCAGGUACUGGUUUUUCAGGUUUCUCCUCAAUUGUUGGUUCUUCGAUUGUCUCCUCAACAGAUGGUUCUUCAAGGUUCUCUCCCGUUGUUGAGUCUUCUGGUUUCUCUUCAAUUGCUGGUUGUUCAGAAAUUUUCUCAACAGCUGGUUCUUCUGGCUUCUCCAAAACCAUUGAUUCUUCAGCUUUCUCUUCAAUUAAAGGUUCUUCAUGGUUUUUUUCAACUACUGUUUCUUCAGUUUUUUCCUCAACGGAUGCAUAGUCAACAACAUCAUUGUUGGUAUUGCUUGGAAUUGCAUCGUCUGUCAUGUCCUUUGAGCUUACUUUUGGCAUAUUCUGCAAUAAAGUUUCAUGUAGUCUUUCAAUAGAUAAACAGAUGUAAAUUUGUUGCACAUAUAAAGCCAAUAUGGUGGAUACACUUUGUGACAGUGUUUAAUCCUCACCUUCUCCUGAAGAUCUUCCGCUUCAAGUUCUUCCUCUUCAAUUGCUGUUUUUUCAUCUCUCUCUUCAACAACUUGUUCUUCAGGUGCCUCUUCAGCCGUUGAUUCUUCAGGUUUCUCUUCAAGCACUAGUUCUUCAGGUGUUUCCUCCUUUGCCAGCUCUUCAGGUGUUUCUUUAGCUGCCAGUUCUUCAGGUUUCUCUUCAGCUGCCGAUUCUUGAGGUAUUUCCUUUACCUGUACUUUAGAUUUCUCCUCAAAUGUUGGUUCUUCAGGUUUCUCCUUAACCGCAGGUACAUCAGGUUUCUCUUCAGCUGCUGGUUUUUGAGGUUUCUCCUCUACUUGUACCUCGGAUUUCUCCUCAACCAUCGGUUCUUCAGGUUUCUCCUCAACCUCUGGUACGUCAGGUUUCUCUUCAUUAACAA
rnacentral:lncRNA from 1 species